AGAAUCAACGCUGGCGGCGUGCCUAACACAUGCAAGUCGAACGAGAAAGUGGAGCAAUCCAUGAGUAAAGUGGCGCACGGGUGAGUAACACGUGACUAACCUACCCUUGAGUGGGGAAUAACCUCGGGAAACCGGGCUAAUACCGCAUAACACCUACGGGUCAAAGGAGCAAUUCGGCUUAAGGAGGGGGUCGCGGCAGAUUAGUUAGUUGGCGGGGUAAUGGCCCACCAAGACGGUGAUCUGUAU
rnacentral:rRNA from 1 species